GUGGGGAAUAUUGGACAAUGGGCGAAAGCCUGAUCCAGCCAUGCCGCGUGUGUGAAGAAGGUCUUCGGAUUGUAAAGCACUUUAAGUUGGGAGGAAGGGCAGUAAGUUAAUACCUUGCUGUUUUGACGUUACCGACAGAAUAAGCACCGGCUAACUUCGUGCCAGCAGCCGCGGUAAUACGAAGGGUGCAAGCGUUAAUCGGAAUUACUGGGCGUAAAGCGCGCGUAGGUGGUUCAGCAAGUUGAAGGUGAAAUCCCCGGGCUCAACCUGGGAACUGCCUCCAAAACUGCAUGACUAGAGUACGGUAGAGGGUAGUGGAAUUUCCUGUGUAGCGGUGAAAUGCGUAGAUAUAGGAAGGAACACCAGUGGCGAAGGCGACUACCUGGACUGAUACUGACACUGAGGUGCGAAAGCGUGGGGAGCAAACAGGAUUAGAAACCCGAGUAGUCC
rnacentral:rRNA from 1 species